AGCUCCAAUAGCGUAUAUUAAAGUUGUUGCAGUUAAAAGCUCGUAGUUGGAUUUCUGGGUGGAGCGACCGGUCCGCCGCUGUGCGGUGUGUACUUGUGUACGACUCGACUCAUCCUUGUGGGGAAGCGUCUUCCGGCAUUCAGUUGUCGGGGCGGGGAACCGCAUCAUUUACUGUAGAAAAAUUAGAGUGUUUAAAGCAGGCAAAUCGCUGUGAAUACAUUAGCAUGGAAUAAUAACAUAGGACUUUGGUUCUAUUUUGUUGGUUGGAGGCCAAGGUAAUGAUUAAUAGGGACAAUUGGGGGGCAUCCGUAUUUCGUUGUCAGAGGUGAAAUUCUUGGAUUUACGAAAGACGAACAAACUGCGAAAGCACUUGC
rnacentral:rRNA from 1 species